rnacentral:misc_RNA from 1 species
AAAAAAAAAGUACGUGAGUACGUGUGUGUGGGUGUGUGUUGGCAUUGCAUACAUACUACCACUACCAUCUUUGACUAGGCUUCAGACCAAGCUCUCUACGUUGUCCCACACACCGCUAAUAUUUUGCCUCGAUCUCUGCGCUCUCAUACGGGAUAAGUCCACCGGAAACGGGGCAUUCGGCAGGAAGCAGAGAUGAGUUGGGCGGUGUAGCGCUGUUAGAGGGUUUGUGUCUGUGCCUAGCUGCUGAUUCGUUCAUUCAAGUGGCUCCCCCGGCCAGAACACCUAACCAUCAGCAGUAGACUGUUGCGACAGACUGCUGAUGACCCAUGUUAUUAAUACUACUUCUCCCUCCCGUCAAGUGACGGCUACGAGGGUAGACUAUAACACGCUUACACACUGGAUGGAGUGUGUAAGCGUAUUGUCGGCAUUGUCACCCACCACAGGUGGUGGUUGUCUGGUGACUUUGACCGCCUUGGGGCGUCGCUACUGUCUUGUCUUACAACGACGAAGGUGUGCCCUUAAGAACUGUCUGCGAGUCGCGGCUCUAAAACGGGGUCGCGGGCUCGGGAUAAGGUGGUGGUACGUUGCCAUUAUUACUAAACAACCUCUCCCGGGCAGAGCAUCCGGGAGCUUGGUUGGAAAAGUAAGGUAACGAGAGUCCAGAGCCGUACUACGUUCUGGUCUCGGCCACAGCCGCCCAGUGAGCGUUGAGCGCUCGACUGAAUCUUUUUUAAACCUUAACACUACCUGUCACUACUACGACAAACCUUCAAACCCAUAGUACUAAGUCUUCCCACAUGGUCUCUUGAGGCAGAGAUUGUGGAAGUGAUAAAAGUCGGCACAGCCCGACGUCAAUAUAAAAAUACAACUCUUAACGGUGGAUCACUCGGCUCGUGGGUCGAUGAAGACCGCAGCAAGCUGCGCGUCGUUAUGUGAAUCGCAAGAAAACCAGAUACAUCGACAAGUCGAACGCACAUUGCGGCGGCGGCACUCUCAUGUGCUGCCGUCACUCCUACACGAGGGUCGGACAUCAUAUAACCAUACAUCGGCAUUGUCACCCACCACAGGUGGUGGUUGUCUGGUGACUUUGACCGCCUUGGGGCGUCGCUACUGUCUUGUCUUACAACAACGACGAAGGUGUGCCCUUAAGAACUGUCUGCGAGUCGCGGCUCUAAAACGGGGUCGCGGGCUCGGGAUAAGGACCACUGCAUUCCAGCCAGAAUACGUAAAUCACGGCAGCGACUUGCGCCGUUGACGCGUUACUAGUUGUGUUUGUCAGAGGGCCGUCCAUACAUACCUGCUUUGCUGCUUGUCAACCCUUGUCAGCAGGCUCGUCAGACGGUGACCGGGUCGGCGCUACCCGAUCUGCUCGGAUCACCAGAGCGAGCUUGCCGCCCAGAGUAUUAUUAUAUCCCCAUGCUGAUAUAAUAUGGGUGUGAAAAAGACGAGAGGGAGACUUGCAGCAGCCAAACGCGAGCUAGUCUCCAGUCUGACUAACUGAGUGACUGCUCCAACCCAUGUCGACCU